UGAGGAAUAUUGCCCAAUGGGGGAAACCCUGAGGCAGCAACGCCGCGUGAACGAAGACGGCAUUCGGGUUGUAAAGUUCUUUUCUGGGGGACGAUAAUGACGGUACCCCAGGAAUAAGUUCCGGCUAACUACGUGCCAGCAGCCGCGGUAAAACGUAGGGGACAAGCGUUAUCCGGAUUUACUGGGCGUAAAGCGCACGUAGGCGGUAGGGUAAGUUGGCCGUGAAAGCUCCCGGCUUAACUGGGAGAGGUCGGACAAAACUGCCGGACUUGAGGCUGAGAGAGGAGAGCGGAAUUCCCGGUGUAGUGGUGGAAUGCGUAGAUAUCGGGAGGAACACCAGUGGCGAAGGCGGCUCUCUGGCUCAGAACUGACGCUCAGGUGCGAAAGCGUGGGGAGCGAACG
rnacentral:rRNA from 1 species